ACUUCUCCACCCCCGAGGAGCCGGAGCCGCACAGGCUCUGGGGGAAGCCGCCUGCACUCGCCGCGGAGGCGGCGGCGGCGGCUUCGAAAGCGCCCGGGCUGUGCCCCGCCGGACCCAGAUGCCCCGGGAAGCCGACAGCCCGGCUGCCCGCCGGAGCUCACAGGCGGCGGCGGCGGCGGCGGUGGCGCUUGGCAGGAGCAGUCUGUCUUUUAUGGGAGGUGGAUAUUGAAAUGACACUUCCGGUCAUUUUUUCCUUGAAUGAGGGGCUGAAUCCAAGCUUGAACCCUCAAACUCAGUUUCCUUUGAGGGGCUGUGAUUGGAGUCUGGAGAAAGCUGGAGAACAGAGACUCGGCGUGGAAGACUCAAGUAUUCACAGCGUUCCACAGAGUGGAGUUAGAAGUCUUGUUUUGACAGCCUGAAUCACUCCAGUUUCUUUCCCCAAAGACCUGUUUUUUUUCCUUUCAACCUGUGCGGCUUCCCUCCCACCCUACCCCACCCCACCCCACCCUCACCCCCAGGAAACACAUACAGAAGUUUAUCAUCUAAGGAAAUACACUUUGUUCCGAGGCACANNNNNNNNNNNNNNNNNNNNNNNNNNNAGGCAUGGCUAGUUGCAGCUGAAAACAGUUCCUUAAACUUUCAGGUCUGGACAGAAUCUAGAAUUAGACAAACAAGGUCCUGCCUACAAGGAAAUCUUGCUUUGAUGAAUACAGGAGAUAAAAACAACCAAUUGGUUGCUUGAAUUGCAUUGAUUCUGAAAAAAUGUGGGACUAGAACCUCGCACACAGUAGGCUCUUAAACAGCACUCCUUGCUUUUUGAUGUGCUUUAGGGGGUUUGGCACUGGUUUGUUUUCUUAGGAAGAUUAAAUGUUCCAGAACAAUUCUGCCACUGCUGUGAAUUAACUAAGAGAAUAAUUUUUCAGUAAAGAGUUCAAAAGGUUAAAUUCUAGCCCAGCUUUCCCGAGAUGGCGGGUUCCAGUUAGUGACAUUUUCUUGUGCUGUCUUCUCUUCCGUUGAUCUCCUCUCCUUUCCUUCAAAUCACCUGUUUUUGUUUGAAAAGCAGCCCAGAUCCUUCAGUUCUUUAUUUAGAUGGAGUAGAAUGAAAACAAACCGUGUCAGACAAUAGAUUGGAUGACCUGUUUAUAGAAUGUCCACUGGGUGAAGACUCCGGGGGAGUCUUCACAAAGGAGAAGGAACUCACAGUCAGUUGCUACCAUCUGAGAUGUUUGCAGUCCAGUAAAGGGGGAUAUGAUAAGUGUAUGAAGAAAACUUCAGCAGAGUGUGGGAAAAAAAAAUCUCUAAAUUCCCCUAAGAGCAUAGACUAGUGUUUUGCAAUCUUGAAAAAAACGCAUGCCCACUUUUGGUAAAUAUUGCAAUUUCAUGCUAUCUGAAUGUUUGAAAU
rnacentral:lncRNA from 1 species